rnacentral:rRNA from 1 species
CCUGGUUGAUCCAGCUAGUAGUCAUAUGCUUGUCUCAAAGAUUAAGCCAUGCAUGUGCAAGUAUGAACUAAUUCAGACUAUGAAACUGCGAAUGGCUCAUUAAAUUAAUUAUAGUUUGUUUGAUGGCAUGUGCUAUUCGGAUAACCAUAGUAAUUCUAGAGCUAAUACGUGCACCAAAUCCCGACUUCUGGAAGGGACGCAUUUAUUAGGUAAAAGGUCGAUGAUGGCUCAUGCCAGCUGCCCUGAUGACUCAUGAUAACUUGUCGGAUGGCACGGCCAUUGUGCCGGUGACGCAUCAUUCGAAUAUGUGCCCUAUCAACUAUCGAUGGUAGGAUAGGGGCCUACCAUGGUGGUGACGGGUGAAGGAGAAUUAGGGUUCGAUUCCGGAGAGGGAGCCUGAGAGACGACUACCACAUCCAAGGAAGGCAGCAGGCGCGCAAAUUACCCAAUCCUGACACGGGGAGGUAGUGACAAUAAAUAACCAUAUCGGGCUCUUCGAGUCUGGUAAUUGGAAUGAGUACAAUCUAAACCCCUUAACGAUGAUCCAUUGGAGGGCAAGUUUGGUGCCAGCAGCCAUGGUAAUUCCAGCUCCAAUAGCGUAUCUUUAAGUUCUUGCAGUUAAAAAGCUCGUACUUGGACCUUGGGAUAGGACGGUUCGUCCGCCUCGUCCCUUAUGUCGGCGAUGUGUUCCUAGACUUAAUUAGCCGGGUCGUGCCUCCAGCACUAUUACUUUGAAGAAAUUAGAGUGCUCAAAGCAAGCCCACGCUCUGGAUACAUUAACAUGGGAUAACACCAUAAGAUUUCGAUCCUAUUGUGUUGGCCUUCAGGAUCGGAGUAACGAUUAAGAGGGACGGUCGAGGGCAUUCGUAUUUCAUAGUCAGAGGUAAAAUUCUUGGAUUUAUGAAAGACGAACCACUGCGAAAGCAUUUGCCAAGGAUGGUUUCAUUAAUCAAGAAUGAAAGUUGGGGGCUCAAAAAUGAUCAGAUACCGUUCUAGUCUCAACCAUAAACGAUGCCAACCAUAGAUCGACAGAUGUUACUUUUAGGACUCCGCCGGCACCUUAUGAGAAAUCAAAGUCUUUAGGUUUCAUGAAAUACGGCCGUAGCCUAUGCAGAUAUAUAUAUAUAUAUAUAACUAUAAUCACUUAGUAAUACAAUAGCUCAACCGGGAUCAAACUCCACGGUAUCCUUAGCCAGGAGAUCUAGAAGCCUCCUGGGGAGCAUAGCGCUCUUACCAAAAGAAAAACCACCCUGACGGGCCAAAAAAGUACAAGGGUCUGCUACACCAUUCGCACCACGCGAUCGGUAAGCAAAUAUAACCCGGGGGAUAUCAAGCAGAAAAGAAAGGGGGUCUGCGUGUCUGUCAACGCCCCGUGACCAAAGGGUCCUCUCCUAGAGACGUCUGAGUGGGAGAAUAUCGGCCACCCAAUCCGCUGCUCAUGACGAACCACUAAAGAAAAGAGCUCUGAGCACAGGAUGAAUAUGUAAGGGGAGAGGGGGCAUCCCUGCCUGAAAUCUCUCUGCCCUACCAUCCAAGGGAGACGGUGCUCACCAACAAUGACGACAAACCUGGGGGACUCCACACACACGCCAUCGCUGCGGCAUCCGCCCAUCAUCAAGGAAAUGGUGAACGAUUGCCAAGGUGUCAGCAUGGGUGAUCUUCCAGUAGCCAAUAAAAAAAGAG